UACUUGAUUUAAUAUUUUAAUAUAAAAUACCAUAAUCUAAAGAUGUAGUCUUGUUAAUGUUACUUGAAUUUUUUUUUUGUAUUCGUCUCUUUUCUUUGUAGUUAAUGGGAAUUUGAGAACCUGAGACCACUUGGAAUCCUGAAAUACCAAUAUAAACUCACAUUUUUUAAAAAUGUUUUUAAAGUCCCAGGUCCUCAAUGGAACAAGCUCAUUGCUUUGGGGAAUACUAAGAGAUUAUAUGUGGUUACCAUACUCACAUUAUGGUUGAUAGAAGAGUAAUACUCCUGAGUUAAAAGUUUGGAAAGGGGAUUUUGUCUACUAACUUUUUAAUGACUAUAAUUAAGGGUUAUUUUGAUAGGUUUUAAAAUUUAUAAUUAAGUCAACAAUAAUACUGACAGCCAGAAGAUUCCAGUAUUCCUGAUUGCAUGAGUUUUUUGUGUGAAAUAACUAUUAUUCUGCUUUAAAUAUGAGUUUCUUCACCAAUAUUAGCUUUUCAUUUCUAGAGAUUGAAAAGAAUAUAUUUGCUGAAAAGUAUAUGAUUUAUAUUUAUUUCAGAGACAAUGGUUGAUAUUUUUAAAACUAAUUACAAUUGAAAUAGUUUUGCUAAAGUAAUAUUGGUGAAGAAUGUCAUUCAUUUUUCAUACAUAUGAUGGACCAGAGUAACUAAGACAUUAUGUGCUUUGCCUUAGUUCUCAAACAUGUCAGCCUGAUUAAAAAGAGGAAAUACACUCUCUCAGUACUAAAAGAAUGGGCUCUUAAAUUUAGGGAAAAAAAGGCACAUAUUUCUUUUCAAGCAGUUGAGUUUGGUAAAAAGAUGUGUUGGUUGUGAAAAUAGUAAGUGGUGUAGAAAACUUAAAUUUGAAUUAUGUAAAUACAAUAAAGGUUUUUGAUAGCUGUAAUUAAAAUGCAUGGUAGAUGAGAAGACACUAGUAAGAGCAUAUUCUGUUGUUUCAAUCCAGUUGUAUUGACUCUGUGUGAGUUGUGUAGACAGUAUACCUGAUAGUAUCUUUGGGCACAUCCAAAAUGAAAGUUUGUGGAAGUAGAAUGGAAGAUUCAUGUUUCAGGUUGCUUUAGGCAUUGGCGUUUUUCUGUCCAACCUCCUAUCAUUGUCGUCUAAAGUGUAAGGAAAAAAAUAUGGUAGAAGCUUUUGAUACGGCAUGCUCUUCAUGUCCAAAAGCUACAUGAAGGAGCAACGUUUUGUGUGUGUGUGUGUGUAUAACUUGAAACACUGAAUAAUUCCCCAGAUAUUAAUUUCUGAAUUUAGCUGAUACAUUGUAUACAGCAGUUCCCCUUAUCUGUGGUUUUACUUUCCAUGGUUUUAAGUCAACUGUGGUUUGAAAAUAAGAAGAUAUGUUGAGAUAGAGAAAGUGUAAACAUUCAUUUGAUUUUUAUUAUAGUAUAUUGUUAUAGUUGUGCUAUUAUUGUUGUUAGUCUUACUGUACUUAAUUUAUAAAUUAAACUUUAUUAUAAGUAUGUUUGUGUAGAAAAAAACAUAGUCCUCUAUGUGUAGGGUUUGGUACUAUCUGCUUUCAGUCAUCCACUGGGGUCAUGGAAUGUAUCACCCUCACAUAAGGUGGGGACUGCUGUACUCCUUAAGGCAUUUCUCUUUGAGGCUGGUCUAGUAAGACACAAUAUCAUAUUUCUUUUAAUAUCUAACUAUAUUUCCUUGGUUAAGAUCUUGCCUUAAUGUUCUCUGAAAGCAAGGCACAGCCUUAUAGGCAAAACUUCUCUUCAAGUUUUUAUGGAGUCUUGUUCAGAGUAAGACUAUAAAUGUGGGAAAGAAUGAAUUACAAAAGAGCCUCCCAACAUUCAUAUACUCCCAGCUGUAUUUCUUCACAUUUUCAGUUUUCUGUAUAAUAUUUACGAUGGCUUAAUGAAUGGUAAGAUAAAACAAUUUUGGAGGAUUUUAGGCUAUAUUCAGUGGUAUGCUGGUAAAUGUGUAACAACUGGCUUUUGAAGGUGGAAGAUUCCCGGAUUUAAAGUGCUUGUCCAUUUGUUUGGUGUAAGUCCUUCUACCAUAGCUGAUUUCAAGUUUCCAAUGUGUAAUUACUGAACAUGGACUUGGCAUUAAAAGUUAACUCUAGGGAACCAGUAUGAGCUGGGUGUAGUGCAGUACUGGUUGUAUGUUAUGAUUCAUGCUAUCAAAUUCUUUAAUUUUAAGUAAAAAGAACUUCUGUACAACAGAAUAUAAUAGUCUAACUAUAACAACUGUCAUAUCUCAAUUAGUUGUAAUAAAAAUGCCAAUCAGAUACCAAACCAAAAUUGAAAUGUAUCCAAAGGGACAGUGGUUUGUCUCCUAAAUCUCAUUAGCUAUAGUGUAUGCAAUGUAAUCACAUAUAUGGGGCAAAUAUCAUUCAAUAUGUUUGUAUAUUCACAAAUGUUUGUUUAUGUGUACAAAGUCUAAACACAAAACCUUUAUUUUAAAAAUGC